ensembl:snRNA Gm22796 predicted gene, 22796
GUGCUCGCUUCAGCAACGCACACCCUAAACUUGGACCGAUACAGAGAAGAUUAGUGCCCCCCAAACCCCCGUGCAAGGAUGACAUACAAACUUGUUCCAUGUUUUA